rnacentral:tRNA from 1 species
GAGGGUAUAGCUCAGUGGUAGAGUGCAUGCUUAGCAACACAUGAGAUCCUGGGUUCAAUCCCCAGUCCCUCCA